rnacentral:rRNA from 1 species
AACGAACGCUGGCGGCAUGCCUAACACAUGCAAGUCGAACGAGAUCUUCGGGUCUAGUGGCGCACGGGUGCGUAACGCGUGGGAAUCUGCCCUUGGGUUCGGAAUAACUUCGGGAAACUGAAGCUAAUACCGGAUGAUGACGUAAGUCCAAAGAUUUAUCGCCCAAGGAUGAGCCCGCGUAGGAUUAGCUAGUUGGUGAGGUAAAGGCUCACCAAGGCGACGAUCCUUAGCUGGUCUGAGAGGAUGAUCAGCCACACUGGGACUGAGACACGGCCCAGACUCCUACGGGAGGCAGCAGUGGGGAAUAUUGGACAAUGGGCGAAAGCCUGAUCCAGCAAUGCCGCGUGAGUGAUGAAGGCCUUAGGGUUGUAAAGCUCUUUUGCCCGGGAUGAUAAUGACAGUACCGGGAGAAUAAAGCUCCGGCUAACUCCGUGCCAGCAGCCGCGGAAAGUGACU